UACGUAGGGUGCAAGCGUUAAUCGGAAUUACUGGGCGUAAAGCGUGCGCAGGCGGCUUUUGCAAGACAGAUGUGAAAUCCCCAGGCUUAACCGGGGAACUGCAUCUGAUACUGGAUGGCUUGAGUUCGGGAGAGGGAUGCGGAAUUCCAGGUGUAGCGGUGAAAUGCGUAGAUAUCUGGAGGAACACCGGUGGCGAAGGCGGCAUCCUGGACCGACACUGACGCUGAGGAGCGAAAGCCAGGGGAGCAAAACGGG
rnacentral:rRNA from 1 species